rnacentral:rRNA from 1 species
CUUGGCGGCCAUAGCGCGGUGGUCCCACCUGAUCCCAUGCCGAACUCAGAAGUGAAACGCCGUAGCGCCGAUGGUAGUGUGGGGUCUCCCC